UCUUCCCUAUCUCCUCUUUCAAAACUAGCUCUCAGAAAAGGUCAUAAAUUCACUCAUGCUAAGGUAGGAAUGGCUGAGAAGUAUUAUUCCCUAUCCUCUCCCAUAGAACUGUGUGCUGACAUCAAAUGAAUAAAUUUCUAAUUGUAGAAUUUCAGGUAUCUGGAGGCUGGGGGAGAAAUCCAUUAACGCUGGCCCUGGGAAGAAAGUAUCACAUGGUGGUAACACCAUGAACCAAGAAAACAAAAAACAAACAAAAAUCAAAACAAAACAAAUAAGAAAAAAUAGCCAAGAUGUUAUAUUGAUUUUUUUUUUUAAAUCACUUCAUACUUUCAAUAAUCUUGUGAGGGGAAAAAUAGGAACCAUAAAGACAGUUCUAUUUUAAAAGUCAAAAAGCAGGCACAGGAAGUGAAGUCCCUUCUCCCAGGGUCAGUUGGAAGUUAAUGGCUGAGCUAACUGGAGUGGUCAAAAAGAAAUCCUCAAGGCCAGAUGUCCACACUUGAGGACCAUCACCAUCAGCCAGGUUUCCCCACACGUGGCUUCCUGGGUGAUGAAUGUUAUUUCCAUUUAUUGGAUAACAGAAGAUAAUCACAGAUCAGCUUCAAAAUCUCUCUUGGAAGAAUGACCAAGCUGUCUGUCUGCAUAUUGUGUGGGCUGGCUUACUAGAAAGUGAAGACUUUGGAUGGCCAGAUUUUAGCUGCUUCUCCCUAGGGAAGAAGGGAUUCAAAUAAAUAAUAAGUUGAAGGAUUCGCUGACAAAUAGGGGAACAAACAUACCAUUUGAAGAAAAUCAACAACCAUACAAAACCAACGUCCAAGGAAACUAAGACUAGUUUUGUCACCAACUGUCAAAGAGCAACGAAUGCAAGAUUUGAGAGAAAAUGUGCUAUCAUUUGCUCAGAGGCAUAAUGAGGGAUUUCCAAACCCAAACAUCUUGGCAGACAAUGGCUCAGAUAAUGGCUGAAUUGAAUAAUCAAAACCACUGGAACAAUGAGCCACAGAUGCAGAAAGGGCCCUGGGUGGUCGGGCUUGUGGUGAGGUAACAGCUUGCCAAGCAUCAAGCCCCCCACUGAAGAGUUCUGCACUUAUAUUCCUUCUUCCUCUGGAUUGAGGUCACAGGAGAUUAUCUGUCCUGGUUUAACCUACCAAGCUUCCAACUACCUCCAAAGUUUUCAAUGUCUAGGAUGUCUCCAGUCUUGUUCUGUGGCAGGGCAAAGCCUGAUUGGAGUCUGGAAAACAUAUUUUAUUACAUAUGUGUUUGUUUUUGACAUAAUGGAAGCCAAAGUUUGUUGAAGGUAAAUGUCAGUUUCACAGAACAACUAAAUAUGAAUAACCUUAUUAAGGAAGUGUCUCAUCACAGUAUAAAGGCAACAGAUGAUGCAGAGACUAUUACACCAAACGAAUGUGCUGUAAAAUGCAUUUAUCUUUGGGAGAUGAAAAGCCAAUGAAUGGAGGGGAUCAUGAAUCUAAAUGUUAUAGCUAAAAACUAUAAAACUCCUGGAGAACAGAGAAGUAAAUCUUCAUGACUGAGGAUUAGGCAAUAGUUUGUCAGAUAUCACAUCAAAAGCACAAGUGACAAAAGAAAAAAAUAAAUAAAUUGGAUUUCAUUAAAAUUAAAACCUUUGUGCUUCAAAGAACAUCACAAAAGUGAAAAGACAACCCACAGAAUGGAAGGAAAUAUUUGCAAAUCAUAUAUCUGAUAAGGGACUUGUAGCCAGAAUAUAUAAAAACUCUUUAAAAAAAAUUUAUUUACUUAUUUAUUUAUUUGGCUGUACCAGGUCUUAGUUGCAGCACACGGGAUCUUGGGAUCUUCAUUGUGGCAUGCAGGAUCUUUAGUUGAGGCAUGUGGGAUCUAGUUCCCUGACCAGGGAUCGAACCCGGGCCCCCUUCAUUGGAGCAUGGAGUCUUAGCCACUGGACCACCAGGGAAGUCCCUAAAAAUUCUUACAAUUCAACAAUAAAAAAACAAAUAACUCAAUUUUUAAAGUAGGCAAAGGAAUUAAAUAGACAUAUCCAAAAGCACAUGAAAAGAUACUCCACAUCAUUAGCCAUCAGGGAAAGGCAAAUCAAAACCAUAAUGAGAUACCACUUCAUACCACUAGAAUGGUUAAAAUAAUACAGAUAGGGCUUCCCUGGUGGCGCAGUGGUUGGGAAUCUGCCUGCCGAUGCAGGGGACACGAGUUCGAGCCCUGGUCUGGGAAGAUCCCACAUGCCACGGAGCAACUGGGCCCGUGAGCCACAACUACUGAGCCUGCGCGUCUGGAGCCUGUGCUCCGCAACAAGAGAGGCCGCGAUAGUGAGAGGCCCAUGCACCGCGAUGAAGAGUGGCCCCCGCUUGCCUCAAGUGGAGAAAGCCCUAGCACAGAAACAAAGACCCAACACAGCCAAAAAUAAAUAAAUAAAUAAAUAAAUUAUUUUUAAAAAUAAUAAUAAAAAUACAGAUAAUCACAAGUAUUGGCAAGGAUAUGGAGAGACUGGACCCUCAUAUAUUGUUAGAGGGACUGUGAAAUGGUACAGCCUCUUUAGAAAACAGGCUAGAAGUUCCUCAAAAAGUUGAACAAAAGGUUACUUUGUGACCCAGCAAUUCCACUCCUAGGUAUAUACCCAAGAGAAUUGAAAACAUAUGUUUACAUAAAAACUUGUACGUGAAUGUUCAUAGUAGCAUUAUUCAAAUAGCCAAAAAGUGGAAACAACUCAAAUGUCCACCAACUAAUGAAUCAAUAAAUAAAAAUGCG